GUGGGGAAUUUUGGACAAUGGGCGCAAGCCUGAUCCAGCCAUGCCGCGUGCAGGAAGACGCAUCUAUGGUGUGUAAACUGCUUUUGUACGGGAAGAAACACUCCCUCGUGAGGGAGCUUGACGGUACCGUAAGAAUAAGGAUCGGCUAACUCCGUGCCAGCAGCCGCGGUAAUACGGAGGAUCCAAGCGUUAUCCGGAAUCAUUGGGUUUAAAGGGUCCGUAGGCGGUUUAAUAAGUCAGUGGUGAAAGCCCAUCGCUCAACGAUGGAACGGCCAUUGAUACUGUUAGACUUGAAUUACAAGGAAGUAACUAGAAUAUGUAGUGUAGCGGUGAAAUGCUUAGAUAUUACAUGGAAUACCAAUUGCGAAGGCAGGUUACUACUUGUGGAUUGACGCUGAUGGACGAAAGCGUGGGGAGCGAACAGGAUUAGAAACCCCGGUAGUCC
rnacentral:rRNA from 1 species